GACGAACGCUGGCGGCGUGCCUAAUACAUGCCAGUAGAACGCUGAAGGAGGAGCUUGCUCUUCUGGAUGAGUUGCGAACGGGUGAGUAACGCGUAGGUAACCUGCCUGGUAGCGGGGGAUAACUAUUGGAAACGAUAGCUAAUACCGCAUAACAGUAGAUGUUGCAUGACAUUUGCUUAAAAGGUGCAAUUGCACCACUACCAGAUGGACCUGCGUUGUAUUAGCUAGUUGGUGGGGUAACGGCUCACCAAGGCGACGAUACAUAGCCGACCUGAGAGGGGGAUCGGCCAAACUGGGACUGAGACACGGCCCAGACUUCUACGGGAGGCAGCAGUAGGGAAUCUUCGGCCAUGGACGGAAGUCUGACCGGGCAAAGCCGCGGGAGUGAAGAAGGUUUUCGGAUCGUAAAGCUCUGUUGUAAGAGAAGAACGAGUGUGAGAGUGGAAAGUUCACACUGUGACGGUAUCUUACCAGAAAGGGACGGCUAACUACGUG
rnacentral:rRNA from 1 species